CUACAAGCUGCAGCAGUAAGGAAUAUUGCGCAAUGGAGGCAACUCUGACGCAGCCAUGCCGCGUGCAGGAAGAAGGCCUUAUGGGUCGUAAACUGCUUUUAUUUAGGAAUAAACCCCCGAACGUGUUCGGGGCUGAAGGUACUAAACGAAUAAGCACCGGCUAACUCCGUGCCAGCAGCCGCAGUAAUACGGAGGGUGCAAGCGUUAUCCGGAUUUAUUGGGUUUAAAGGGUGCGCAGGCGGGCUAUUAAGUCAGUGGUGAAAUCCCGGGGCUCAACUCCGGAACUGCCAUUGAUACUGAUAGUCUUGAGUUUGGUUGAAGUGGGCGGAAUGUAGCAUGUAGCGGUGAAAUGCAUAGAUAUGCUACAGAACACCAAUCGCGAAGGCAGCUCACUAAGCCAAAACUGACGCUCAUGCACGAAAGCGUGGGGAUCAAACAGGAUUAGAUACCCGGGUAGUC
rnacentral:rRNA from 1 species